UCCCCUCUCCAGCCUCCUUCCGCGGACGAAGAUGUUGGAGAGAAAGAGGAAGAGGAAGAAGAAGAGAUGGCGACUCUUUGUGGAUAUCAAGAUCGGGAAGAAUGGGGCUUAGUUUCGCGAAGCUAUUCAGCCGCCUCUUUGCGAAGAAGGAGAUGCGGAUCCUGAUGGUGGGGCUUGAUGCCGCCGGUAAGACGACCAUCUUAUACAAGCUCAAGCUCGGGGAGAUCGUCACCACCAUACCCACCAUCGGGUUUAACGUUGAGACUGUAGAGUAUAAAAAUAUUAGCUUCACCGUAUGGGAUGUUGGUGGUCAGGAUAAGAUCAGACCUUUAUGGAGGCAUUACUUCCAGAACACCCAGGGUCUUGUUGUUGACAGCAAUGGCAGAGAUCGUGUGGCUGAAGCAAGGGAUGAGCUUCAAAGGAUGCUUAAUGAGGAUGAGUUGCGUGAUGCUGUCUUGCUCGUGUUCGCGAACAAACAAGACCUCCCAAAUGCUAUGAAUGCUGCUGAAAUUACUGACAAGCUUGGUCUGCAUUCCCUGCGUCAACGGCAUUGGUACAUACAGAGCACCUGUGCUACACGACUGGUGAGGGUUUAUACGAGGGGCUAGAUUGACUUUCCAGCAACAUAGCUAACAAGUAAAAAGAAACAAAAAGACUUAUCGGAGAAGACACAGGGUCGGUCUCACCAAUGCAGCCUAACGUCUCAAGAGCAGCAGCCUUCGUAAGUGCAAGUGAUCUCCCAAUAAUGUGACUGAUGGAUGGGAGCACAGCAGCAUCUUCCACUGUCAAAUCAACAUAACAACAUUAGAAAAAGGGAGAUAUAUUCCUGCUGCUUUUUUCCAAAUGAAAAAGAGGGAUUCUAUCAACUUUGUCAAUCUUCGAUCGCGUGGGCAUAUGCUUCGAUGACUGUUCAAGAGAACAAAUGAGGAAAUGAUCAGCAGUCGAUACAACAUUCCGAGAGAAUGAUUGCAGUGCAAACGAUAUGCUCCUUAAUGACCCACAGAUAUGGCAAUUCUCAUGAUGACAGGUCAUUUCUGCUGCUCAUGCCAAGUGAAUCAUAUCCCAUCUUACCUAUUAACAGUGUCAGACUUGAUGAAAUCCUGCCUGGCCUGAUUAAUAAUUGGCAAUAGGCAGUAGCAGAUUGUGUACUGCACAACAUACAUAAAGCGAGACUAAGGUAUAAAUGCAUGCAUGGCCUUUGAUGUUCCUUAUAUGACAUGGUUUUGUUGGAGUUGGCAGUAUGGAUACGUCUGAUAUAGAAAAAAAAGUCGAUGAAGUUGCCAAUCGAUUUAUGUAUGUUUUGCUGAAUGUUACGAAGAGUGUCUCCAUGUGAAAAGAAACAUGGAACAACAUUACAGGAUGAUGGUUGACCGCAACACGUCGAGAUCCAGAAUAAUUCCUAAUUAUGUUCUUGUCCUGCAUUUGCUUGCAAGAAGAUGUCGAUAAUGAUAGUGAGAACGUCUUGAUAUAUGUCAAGACAAACAAACAUGAUAUGAAACCUGAUAAUAGUGACAAAAACAAUAAAGUUAAAGUUAUUUCAUUUCUACAAUAAA